GACGAACGCUGGCGGCGCGCUUAACACAUGCAAGUCGAGCGAGAACCAUUCCUUCGGGAAUGGGGACAGCGGCGAACGGGUGAGUAACACGUGGGUAAUCUGCCCUCGAUUCUGGGAUAGCCCGGGGAAACCCGGAUUAAUACCGGAUAGCCUCUCGAGCUUUCGAGCUCGUGAGAAAAGGUAGCUUCGGCCUCCGAUCGAGGAUGAGCCCGCGGCGGAUUAGCUUGUUGGUGGGGUAAUGGCCUACCAAGCCGACGAUCCAUAGCUGGUUUGAGAGGAUGAUCAGCCACACUGGGACUGAGACACGGCCCAGACACCUACGGGAGGCUG
rnacentral:rRNA from 1 species